UACAGAGACUGCAAGCGUUAUUCGGAUUCACUGGGCGUAAAGGGUGCGCAGGCGGUCGGGUGUAUCAGAUGUGAAAUCCCGAGGCUCAACCUCGGAACUGCGUCUGAAACUACUCGACUAGAGUACUGGAGAGGGUAACGGAAUUCACGGUGUAGCAGUGAAAUGCGUAGAUAUCGUGAGGAAGACCAGUGGCGAAGGCGAAUCUCUGGACAGAUCCUGACGCUGAGGCACGAAGGCUAGGGGAGCAAACGGG
rnacentral:rRNA from 1 species